GGGGAUGUAGUUAAAAAUAACAUCUAAUUUGCAAUUAGAAAGAACUUAGUUAAGUCUUCCUCA
rnacentral:tRNA from 1 species